GGGUUGUGAGGUUAAGCGAAUAAGCGUACACGGUGGAUGCCUAGGCAAUCAGAGGCGAUGAAGGACGUGCUAAUCUGCGAAAAGCGUCGGUAAGGUGAUAUGAACCGUUAUACCCGACGAUAUCCGAAUGGGGAAACCCAGUAUCCAAUGGAUACUAUCAUUAACUGAAUUCAUAGGUUAAUGAGGCGAACCGGGAGAACUGAAACAUCUCAGUACCCCGAGGAAAAGAAAUCAACCGAGAUUCCCCUAGUAGCGGCGAGCGAACGGGGAGCAGCCCAGAGUCUUAAUCAAUGGCAGUGUCAGGAGAACGGUCUGGAAAGUCCGGCAGUAAAGGGUGAUAGCCCCGUAUCUGAAGAUGCUGUUAUUGUGAACUCGACGAGUAGGGCGGGACACGUGUUAUCCUGUCUGAAUAUGGGGGGACCAUCCUCCAAGGCUAAAUACUCCUGAUUGACCGAUAGUGAACCAGUACCGUGAGGGAAAGGCGAAAAGAACCCUGGCGAGGGGAGUGAAAAAGAACCUGAAACCGUGUACGUACAAGCAGUAGGAGCCCCACCACUAAGCUAGUGGUGAGUGUCACAGCGAUUCUUUUGCAUGAUAAGUGCGGUAGACGGAGCGAAGCGACGUCCAACCCACAAAAUCAAGCAGAGGAGGCUUAGUGGUGGGGUGACUGCGUACCUUUUGUAUAAUGGGUCAGCGACUUAUAUUCUGUAGCAAGGUUAACCGCAUAGGGGAGCCGUAGGGAAACCGAGUCUUAACUGGGCGAAUGAGUUGCAGGGUAUAGACCCGAAACCCGGUGAUCUAUCCAUGGGCAGGUUGAAGGUUGGGUAACACUAACUGGAGGACCGAACCGACUAAUGUUGAAAAAUUAGCGGAUGACUUGUGGAUGGGGGUGAAAGGCCAAUCAAACCGGGAGAUAGCUGGUUCUCCCCGAAAGCUAUUUAGGUAGCGCCUCGUGAACUCAUCUUCGGGGGUAGAGCACUGUUUCGACUAGGGGGUCAUCCCGACUUACCAACUCGAUGCAAACUGCGAAUACCGAAGAAUGUUAUCACGGGAGACACACGGCGGGUGCUAACGUCCGUCGUGAAGAGGGAAACAACCCAGACCGCCAGCUAAGGUCCCAAAGUCAUGGUUAAGUGGGAAACGAAGUGGGAAGGCUCAGACAGCCAGGAUGUUGGCUUAGAAGCAGCCAUCAUUUAAAGAAAGCGUAAUAGCUCACUGGUCGAGUCGGCCCGCGCGGAAGAUGUAACGGGGCUAAACCAUGCACCGAAGCUGCGGCAGCGACACAAUGUGUUGUUGGGUAGGGGAGCGUUCUGUAAGCCUGCGAAGGUGUACUGUGAGGUAUGCUGGAGGUAUCAGAAGUGCGAAUGCUGACAUAAGUAACGAUAAUGCGGGUGAAAAACCCGCACGCCGGAAGACCAAGGGUUCCUGUCCAACGUUAAUCGGGGCAGGGUGAGUCGACCCCUAAGGCGAGGCUGAAAAGCGUAGUCGAUGGGAAACGGGUUAAUAUUCCCGUACUGGUGGUAACUGCGAUGGGGGAACGGAGAAGGCUAGGUUGUCCGGGCGACGGUCGUCCCGGUUCAAGCAGGUAGGCAGAGUGAUUAGGCAAAUCCGGUCACUUAAUGCUGAGAUGUGAUGACGAACCACCAAGGUGGUGAAGCAAUUGAUGCCCCGCUUCCAGGAAAAGCCUCUAAGCUUCAGGUUACCAACAAUCGUACCCCAAACCGACACAGGUGGUCAGGUAGAGAAUACUCAGGCGCUUGAGAGAACUCGGGUGAAGGAACUAGGCAAAAUGGUGCCGUAACUUCGGGAGAAGGCACGCUGGCGGUAGGUAAAGUCCCUCGCGGACAGAGCUGAAGCCAGUCGAAGAUACCAGCUGGCUGCAACUGUUUAUUAAAAACACAGCACUGUGCAAACACGAAAGUGGACGUAUACGGUGUGACGCCUGCCCGGUGCUGGAAGGUUAAUUGAUGGGGUUAGCGCAAGCGAAGCUCCUGAUCGAAGCCCCAGUAAACGGCGGCCGUAACUAUAACGGUCCUAAGGUAGCGAAAUUCCUUGUCGGGUAAGUUCCGACCUGCACGAAUGGCGUAAUGAUGGCCAGGCUGUCUCCACCCGAGACUCAGUGAAAUUGAACUCGCUGUGAAGAUGCAGUGUACCCGCGGCAAGACGGAAAGACCCCGUGAACCUUUACUAUAGCUUGACACUGAACAUUGAGCCUUGAUGUGUAGGAUAGGUGGGAGGCUUUGAAGUGUGGACGCCAGUCUGCAUGGAGCCAACCUUGAAAUACCACCCUUUAACGUUUGAUGUUCUAACCUAGGCCCGUGAUCCGGGUCGGGGACCGUGUCUGGUGGGUAGUUUGACUGGGGCGGUCUCCUCCUAAAGAGUAACGGAGGAGCACGAAGGUUGGCUAAGCAUGGUCGGACAUCAUGCGGUUAGUGCAAAGGCAUAAGCCAGCUUGACUGCGAGAGUGACGGCUCGAGCAGGUACGAAAGUAGGUCUUAGUGAUCCGGUGGUUCUGAAUGGAAGGGCCAUCGCUCAACGGAUAAAAGGUACUCCGGGGAUAACAGGCUGAUACCGCCCAAGAGUUCAUAUCGACGGCGGUGUUUGGCACCUCGAUGUCGGCUCAUCACAUCCUGGGGCUGAAGUAGGUCCCAAGGGUAUGGCUGUUCGCCAUUUAAAGUGGUACGCGAGCUGGGUUUAGAACGUCGUGAGACAGUUCGGUCCCUAUCUGCCGUGGGCGUUGGAAGAUUGAGAGGGGUUGCUCCUAGUACGAGAGGACCGGAGUGAACGCACCACUGGUGUUCGGGUUGUCAUGCCAAUGGCAUUGCCCGGUAGCUAAGUGCGGAAGAGAUAACCGCUGAAAGCAUCUAAGCGGGAAACUUGCCUCGAGAUGAGUCUUCCCUGUCGCUUAAAGCGACCUAAAGGAACGUUUAAGACGAAGACGUUGAUAGGCUGGGUGUGUAAGCGUAGCGAUACGUUGAGCUAACCAGUACUAAUGAACCGUGAGGCUUAACCUGACAACACCGAAGGUGUUU
rnacentral:rRNA from 1 species